rnacentral:rRNA from 1 species
UACGGAGGAUGCAAGCGUUUAUCCGGAUUCACUGGGUUUAAAGGGUGCGUAGGCGGGCAGGUAAGUCAGUGGUGAAAUCCUUGAGCUUAACUCGAGAACUGCCAUUGAUACUAUCUGUCUUGAAUAUUGUGGAGGUAAGCGGAAUAUGUCAUGUAGCGGUGAAAUGCUUAGAUAUGACAUAGAACACCUAUUGCGAAGGCAGCUUACUACGCAUAUAUUGACGCUGAGGCACGAAAGCGUGGGGAUCAAACAGG